GCGGCCAGCCACCCGCUCCCGCUGCCCCCCGCCCCGCCGCGUCGCCAUGGCUCUCGCCGUCCGCGCGCCCCGCUUCCAGCCGCGGCCGGCCUCCGUUUCCGCGCCCGCCUCCACGUCAUCCCUCGCCGCCGCCGCGAACGCGAGGUCCCGCGCCGGCGCCGCCGUCCGCGCCUCCGCCGCCUCGCCCUUCACCGAGGCCACCUCCUCCUCGCGCUACCGCCGCGACGCCUGGUCCUACGCUGCCGACGGCUCGUCCAAGCCCGCGUCCUCGUCGUCGUCGUCCGAUGCCGCCGCUGCCGCCGCGGCGGUGGCGGCGGCGGGCCGCCGGGACGACGAGAUCGCGCUGCAGCUGCCGGAGCUGCGCAGGCUCCUGGACGCGCUGAGGGCUUCCAGGGGUAGGGGCGCCGAGGGGGAGGGCGGCGCCGGCGGGCCCGGGAGGGUUGCGCUGGUCGGGACGGGGCCCGGGGACCCCGAGCUGCUCACGCUCAAGGCGGUCCGGGCCAUCGAGGCCGCGGACCUGGUGCUCUACGACCGGCUGGUGUCCAACGACGUGCUGGACUUGGUCGGGGAGGGCGCCAGGCUUCUGUACGUUAGCAAGACGGCGGGAUACCACAGCCGCACCCAGGAGGAGAUUCAUGAGCUACUCCUCAGCUUUGCAGAGGCUGGUGCCAAUGUGGUACGGUUGAAAGGCGGCGAUCCUCUGGUCUUUGGAAGAGGUGGAGAAGAGAUGGAUUUCCUACAGCAGCAAGGAAUUAGAGUUGAAGUUAUCCCAGGAAUUACUUCUGCUUCAGGAAUUGCAGCAGAACUAGGCAUUCCACUAACCCAUCGAGGUGUUGCUACCAGUGUCAGAUUUUUAACUGGGCACUCUAGAAAUGGUGGGACGGAUCCUCUAUAUGUGGCAGGGAAUGCUGCUGAUCCAGACACUACUUUGGUUGUGUACAUGGGUUUGUCAACACUGCCAUCUCUUGCUUCAAAGUUAAUGAAGCACGGCCUUCCGCCAGAUACCCCUGCUGUUGCAGUAGAGCGCGGCACUACCCCUCAACAACGAAUGGUAUUCUCAUUGUUAAAGGAUCUCGUGGAUGAAGUCAAGUCGGCUGAUCUAGUUUCUCCGACUCUAAUAAUUAUUGGAAAAGUGGUAUCCCUGUCUCCCUUUUGGGUCGAUUCAUCUGAACAUGAUGCACUGAAGAUUGAGAACUCAUAUGUAAGUGAGGCCAGAUGAUAGCAGUUUUCCUGAAUCAAGUGUUUGGGCAAUCCUUGACUAAUGGAGUAUUCUGGAUAUGAGCAAUUCUGUUUGAGAACCAAGGAAGCACGAAAUCUGAAUUAUGGAUGACAGCUUUACACAAGAAACCCAUAGACAGCCUUGGAGCCGCUGUGCAAGUGAAUGGAUGGUGCCUGACAGUGUGGACUAAUCUAAACCGAGAGCUGCAAUCCGGCUUAUUUGAUUUUGGCAAUAGUUGUGUGCUUCUGCUUUACUUUGGUGGGAGGAGGGUGUUGGUUCUCCGAAUUGUCAUUCCUGGAGCAUCAGUAGAUAUAUAUGGAGUGUUCAAAUCAAUUCGGUUUCCUUUUGUCGAGGGGGCCAUUCAUGGAGCCAAAGUAGAUGUAUGGUUUUCAAUUCAGUAGCACCUGGCGGCUUCUUUCUGAAUAACCUGAGGCCCAUUUGGAGUGCAGGGUUUUACAGAAAUUUCACAAGAAAUAGUUUACUGUUGUGGAAAUCAAGAAAAAAUCUGGUUCCCAAUUCCCAAACGUGGGUAAUUGUAUAAUUUGUUCAUUUUCUUGAAAUAAAUAUAUUGCCUUUUUGUUUUGUGUC